rnacentral:rRNA from 1 species
GAUCUCCUACGGGAGGCAGCAGUGGGGAAUCUUGGACAAUGGGGGCGACCCUGAUCCAGCCAUGCCGCGUGAGUGAUGAAGGCCCUAGGGUCGUAAAGCUCUUUCGCCUGUGAAGAUAAUGACUGUAGCAGGUAAAGAAACCCCGGCUAACUCCGUGCUAGCAGCCGCGGUAAUACGGAGGGGGUUAGCGUUGUUCGGAAUUACUGGGCGUAAAGCGCGCGUAGGCGGAUUGGAAAGUUGGGGGUGAAAUCCCGGGGCUCAACCCCGGAACUGCCUCCAAAACUAUCAGUCUAGAGUUCGAGAGAGGUGAGUGGAAUUCCGAGUGUAGAGGUGAAAUUCGUAGAUAUUCGGAGGAACACCAGUGGCGAAGGCGGCA